UACAUAGGGUGCAAACGUUGCUCGGAAUCAUUGGGCGUAAAGCGCGCGUAGGCGGUUGCUUAAGUCGGAUGUGAAAGCCCUCGGCUUAACUGAGGAAGUGCAUCCGAAACUGAGCAGCUAGAGUACGAAAGAGGGUCGCGGAAUUCCCGGUGUAGAGGUGAAAUUCGUAGAUAUCGGGAGGAACACCGGUGGCGAAGGCGGCUUCCUGGACCGGUUCUGACACUGAGGAGCGAAAGCGUGGGGAGCGAUCCGG
rnacentral:rRNA from 1 species